CUGCCUUGUAUCAGCACUUCCUCAUUUAAUGCAGGGAGUUGGUUCCAGUACUGCAUUCGAUUUCCAGCCCUCUUAAGCAAAGUAUCAAGAAAAUCCAGACACGUUUCCCAUGCUUAAGAGCAGGCUGGGGAUAGUGCCAAGUUUCAGUAUGGACUGCUGAAUUAUCAGAGCUAUCUCAAAGAAGCCAGAUCUGGAGUUCUAUUUGCACAUUCACCUGUGAGUGCCCUGAAAGCCAGAUACUAAGGGAAAACCACCCCAGCUAAUGGAGUGCAUGGUGGUAUUAAUGGAGUGAAAGAUUCACAGUGACUGGGACACUGCAAAAAUGAACAGGGAAUAUGUCUUCUGGAUACUCUCCUACUCACUGCUGUGCUUUUUCCCUGGUGCUGUUCCCCACACAACUUUGUGCCACGCAGUCAGCGGAGACACCGUUAUUUUGCCCUGUGCCAUUAAGACUUCUGAAAAGCUGAACAUUUCCAAUUAUUAUAUAUACUGGCAGAUACAUACGUCAGUGGUAGUGCAUUUGUUUUACAAUGGGAAGGACUUGUUGACAGAGCAGUCCAGAAGAUACCACAACAGAACCAGGCUCUUUUUGGAUCAGCUGGAGCAUGGUAACUUUUCUCUAAUGCUCUCUGGAGUUGAGCCUGCUGAUGAAGAUGUGUAUACCUGCAUCUUUAGAAACAAAGUGAGCAAAACUAUGGACACACGUGAAGUUAAACUCAACGUCUCAUCUCCAGAUAAUCAAUUGAUGGAAAUAAAUGUUUCCCCUACUGGGGUGGUUGUACUAGCAUAUUGGGGCUCAAAGGGAGAACUCUUCAGGACCAACAGCAGUAAACCUCAAGCUGAUCCCUGGACAGAAAACCCUUAUAUCUUCUUCUACCUCAAAGAUUUAUUGAGGACCACCAGAGGUUAAACAGUUGUUUACGUGAUAGAACACAAUUCUCCUUCUGUGGAAGAGGAUGAGAGAAAGAACAAACCACAUGGGGACAGCUGUUAGUCAUGUUGCUUAAUACACUGCUGGAAAGCAGCCAGCUAUUACAGUGAUUAGGGCAG
rnacentral:lncRNA from 1 species